UACGUAGGGUGCAAGCGUUAAUCGGAAUUACUGGGCGUAAAGCGUGCGCAGGCGGUUUUGUAAGUCUGUCGUGAAAUCCCCGGGCUCAACCUGGGAAUUGCGAUGGAGACUGCAAGGCUAGAAUCUGGCAGAGGGGGGUAGAAUUCCACGUGUAGCAGUGAAAUGCGUAGAGAUGCGGAGGAACACCGAAGGCGAAGGCGAGUGUCCUGGG
rnacentral:rRNA from 1 species